rnacentral:rRNA from 1 species
GCUAUGCGUUCUAUUAGCUAGUGGUAAGGUAACGGCUUACCAAGGCAACGAUAGAUAGGGGUCCUGAGAGGGAGAUCCCCCCACACUGGUACUGAGACACGGACCAG